GACGAACGCUGGCGGCGUGCUUAACACAUGCAAGUCGAACGGUAAGGCCCUUUCGGUGGUUCACGAGUGGCGAACGGGUGCGUAACACGUGGGUGAUCUGCCCUUCACUUUGGGAUAAGCCUGGGUAACUGGGUCUAAUACCGGUUAGGACUACUCGAUGCAUGUCGUGUGGUGGAAAGUUUUUGCGGUGUGGGCUGGGCCCGCGGCCUAUCUGCUUGUUGGUGGGGUGAUGGCCUACCAAGGCGACGUCGGGUAGCCGGCCUGAGAGGGUGUCCGGCCACACUGGGACUGAGAGACGGCCCAGACUCCAACGGGAGGCAGCAGGGGGGAAGAUUGCACAAUGGGCGCAAGCCUGAUGCAGCGACGCCGCGUGGGGGAUGACGGCCUUCGGGUUGUAAACCACUUUCAGCACAGACGAAGCGUAAGUGACGGUAUGUGCAGAAGAAGCACCGGCCAACUACGUG
rnacentral:rRNA from 1 species